rnacentral:lncRNA from 1 species
GUUUCUCAAGUGCAAUAUAAAUUGGAAAUGUAGUUUUGAUCCUGAGUAUUUCAAAAAUCUGAUGUUCGAAUGUUUUCUAAGUAUUUGUAACUUGCUAUAGUUCCCUAUAGUAAGAUUGUCACAAUCAAAAUUGGUUCAAAAAGGUUUUAGUCUAAAUAAUAAAAGCAAUGGCAACUGAAGAAAGUUGGUUUGUGUUGACUAAUGGUUAACAACAGAAAAUACAUUACUUUAACAAAUGAAAAUCUAAAUCUGGUAAGAUUACAGUUAGUUUGUGUUGAUUAAUGAUUAACAACAGGUAAGUAGAUUACAGUUAAGUACAACUGGUAAGUAGAUUACAGUUAAGUACAACUGGUAAGUAGAUUACAGUUGGUUUGUGUUGAUUAAUGAUUAACAACAGAAAAUACAUUACUUUAACAAUUGAAAAUCUAAAUCUGGUAAGUAGAUUACAGUUUGUUUGUGUUGAUUAAUGAUUAACAACAGGUAAGUAGAUUACAGUUAAGUACAACUGGUAAGUAGAUUACAGUUGGUUUGUGUUGAUUAAUGAUUAACAACAGAAAAUACAUUACUUUAACAAAUGAAAAUCUAAAUCUGGUAAGUUUACACUCA